UGGGCCAGUAAUGGGUUAACGCCCUCGACGCAGCACGUCCGAAGGAGAAGAAAGAAAUGGCAUCUUUGGGCCGCGCCGCCGCCUCCGCCGCGAGAGCAGCCCUCCGCCCGGCGCCCCUCGCCGGCCGCAGCCUCGGCUCGUCCCUGCUGUCUGCCUCCCCGGCACGAGCCGCCCAUCUCCUCCGCAGUUCGAGGUCGGCGGUGGCGGGACUGGAGACGCUGUUGCCCCUGCACACCGCGGUGGCGUCGGCGCGCCUCAAGUCCUGCAUCGCCGUCGACUCCACCUGCUGGAGGUCCCUCUCCCAAGGAUAUGCUUUGCCUUUGUGACAAAGAGCUGCACGUACCUGAAGAUGCCAAUGAACAUUAGGGAUUACAGACACCUCGGGCUGUAAUAAUUAGAGUGGUACAUCCUCAGGCACCACCGGCUACCGACCAAACCAGACCUCGAUCGAUCUCCAGGAGCAAGAACCAAGAAUCGAUCCGGCGAUCAUGGCAAGCUCGUUCGAGGAAGGCGAGGUUCCUUUUGAUAAAUUUGCAGCGGCGACCUGAGUAAGUGAGCUUGUGAGGGUUAUCAUGAGGAACAAGAACUCCCCAAAGGCGGUGGCGGCCGCCCGGGCAGAGGGACUGUCCCUAUCGCAGGCCCUCGGGAGAAACGCCGCCCGGAUGGAGCAGGAAAGUUCCUCCAUUGAAAAUCCCACCGUGGCCGCGGCGGUGCCUGCUCCACGGAAUAAGGUUCCCCUUGAAACCUUAGAUGAUGCGCUGGCGAUCGGAGAAGCCUUCUUCGGUCGGGCGCCGGAGAAGAAGAAGAAGUAUAUGAGGGUGAGGCUCUCCAAGGUGGAUCUCGAAUACAUCCUCUCGUACAAGAGCAGCCCCAUGCCUCAUUCGCCGGACGCAUCGACUGGGGGGCUCCCGCCCCCAAAGAGCAGGUUGUGGACUACUUCAUCCUACUGUUCUCCGCUUUCGACGGCGCGGACGAUGAUUUCCUGGAGAUGCAAAAGAGAGUCAACAAGGAGUACAAGAAGAAAGGUUACGCCCAUCACUGGGUCACUGACGAUGAAGAUGAAGCCCCUCGAGCUCUACAGCCUGUUGCAACCCAGGGGUCAUGAUUCAUGAAGCAUAAGGGUGGAACAAAGAAGCUCAACUGAAGAGAUAUGCAGUGUACGAUCGCAAGAGGAGAUGAUAUUUGUAAGCUGUAGCUGAAACGCAAAUUUAUCUAGAUACACAUUUAUCUAGAUGUGUUUUAGUGUGUAUGUGUGAGCAUUACACUAAUAUUAUGUAAACAUGUAAUAUGUAAUUACGCUGUAAUGGAACACCUCUUUAAUGUGU